rnacentral:rRNA from 1 species
ACGAACGCUGGCGGCGUGCCUCAUACAUGCCAGUCGAGCGCGUCUGCCUUGAAGAUCGGAGUGCUUGCACCCUGUGAAACAAGAUACAGGCUAGCGGCGGACGGGUGAGUAACACGUGGGUAACCUGCCCAAGAGAUCGGGAUAACACCUGGAAACAGAUGCUAAUACCGGAUAACAACAGAUGAUGCCUAUCCACUGUUUAAAAGAUGGUUCUGCUAUCACUCUUGGAUGGACCUGCGGUGCAUUAGCUAGUUGGUAGGGUAACGGCCUACCAAGGCGAUGAUGCAUAGCCGAGUUGAGAGACUGAUCGGCCACAUUGGGACUGAGACACGGCCCAAACUCCUACGGGAGGCAGCAGUAGGGAAUCUUCCACAAUGGACGCAAGUCUGAUGGAGCAACGCCGCGUGAGUGAAGAAGGGUUUCGGCUCGUAAAGCUCUGUUGUUGGUGAAGAAGGACAGGGGUAGUAACUGACCUUUGUUUGACGGUAAUCAAUGAGAAAGUCACGGCUAACUACGUG